rnacentral:rRNA from 1 species
AUUGAACGCUGGCGGCAUGCCUUACACAUGCAAGUCGAACGGCAGCAUGAUCUUGCUUGCUAGAUUGAUGGCGAGUGGCGAACGGAUGAGUAAUACAUCGGCACGGGACCUGUAGUGGGGGAUAACUAGUGGACAGAUUAACCAAUAACGCAUACGACCUGAGGGUGAAAGUGGGGGACAGCAAGGCCUCUUGCUAUAGGAGAGGCCGAAGUCGGAUUAGCUAGUUGGUGGGGUAAAGGCCUACGAAGGCGACGAUCAGUAACUGGUCUGAGAGGAUGAUCAGUCACACUGGAACUGAGACACGGUCCAGAGUCCUACGGGAGGCAGCAGUGGGGAAUAUUGGACAAUGGGCGAAAGCCUGAUCCAGCUAUGCCGCGUGUGUGAAGAAGGUUUUCGGAUUGUAAAGCACUUUAAGUUGGGAGGAAGGGCAGUAAGUUAAUACCUUGCUGUUUUGACGUUACCAACAGAAUAAGCACCGGCUAACUUCGUG